rnacentral:rRNA from 1 species
AUUGACGAAGAAGCUUGCUUCUUCUGAUGUUAGCGGCGGACGGGUGAGUAACACGUGGGCAACCUACCUUAUAGUUUGGGAUAACUCCGGGAAACCGGGGCUAAUACCGAAUAAUCUAUUUCUCCUCAUGGAGAAAUACUGAAAGACGGUUUCGGCUGUCGCUAUAAGAUGGGCCCGCGGCGCAUUAGCUAGUUGGUGAGGUAACGGCUCACCAAGGCGACGAUGCGUAGCCGACCUGAGAGGGUGAUCGGCCACACUGGGACUGAGACACGGCCCAGACUCCUACGGGAGGCAGCAGUAGGGAAUCUUCCACAAUGGGCGAAAGCCUGAUGGAGCAACGCCGCGUGAGUGAAGAAGGAUUUCGGUUCGUAAAACUCUGUUGUAAGGGAAGAACAAGUACAGUAGUAACUGGCUGUACCUUGACGGUACCUUAUUAGAAAGCCACGGCUAACUACGUGCCAGCAGCCGCGGUAAUACGUAGGUGGCAAGCGUUGUCCGGAAUUAUUGGGCGUAAAGCGCGCGCAGGUGGUUCCUUAAGUCUGAUGUGAAAGCCCACGGCUCAACCGUGGAGGGUCAUUGGAAACUGGGGAACUUGAGUGCAGAAGAGGAUAGUGGAAUUCCAAGUGUAGCGGUGAAAUGCGUAGAGAUUUGGAGGAACACCAGUGGCGAAGGCGACUAUCUGGUCUGUAACUGACACUGAGGCGCGAAAGCGUGGGGAGCAAACAGGAUUAGAUACCCUGGUAGUCCACGCCGUAAACGAUGAGUGCUAAGUGUUGGGGGGUUUCCGCCCCUCAGUGCUGCAGCUAACGCAUUAAGCACUCCGCCUGGGGAGUACGGUCGCAAGACUGAAACUCAAAGGAAUUGACGGGGGCCCGCACAAGCGGUGGA